rnacentral:rRNA from 1 species
UACGGAGGGUGCAAGCGUUAUCCGGAUUCACUGGGGUUAAAGGGAGCGCAGGCGGAUUUGUAAGUCAGUGGCGAAAGGCUUAAGCUUAACUUGGGAACUGCCAUUGAUACUAUAAGUCUUGAAUGUUGUUGAGGUUUGCGGAAUGGGUCAUGUAGCGGUGAAAUGCAUAGAUAUGACCCGGAACACCUAUUGCGAAGGCAGCAGGCUAAACAAAUAUUGACGCUGAGGCUCGAAAGCGUGGGGAUCAAACAGG